UACGUAGGGUGCGAGCGUUGUCCGGAAUUAUUGGGCGUAAAGAGCUUGUAGGCGGUUUGUCGCGUCUGCCGUGAAAGCCCAGGGCUUAACCCUGGGUCUGCGGUGGGUACGGGCAGACUAGAGUGUGGUAGGGGAGACUGGAAUUCCUGGUGUAGCGGUGAAAUGCGCAGAUAUCAGGAGGAACACCGAUGGCGAAGGCAGGUCUCUGGGCUGUAACUGACGCUGAGGAGCGAAAGCAUGGGGAGCGAACAGG
rnacentral:rRNA from 1 species